UGAUGCUUAUACCAGACGCUUGAUGGGCAUUUUGAAGUUGGAAGGAAACGUAACAACGUAUGGUAUGGAUGUACAACUUCUUUAUUAUUUACAACACGACAUUUCUUGGCU